UCCGUAGGCGGGAAUCUAAGUCAGUGGUGAAAUCUUACAGCUCAACUGUAAAAUUGCCAUUGAUACUGGAUUUCUUGAAUUAAUGUGAAGUGGUUAGAAUGUGUAGUGUAGCGGUGAAAUGCAUAGAUAUUACACAGAAUACCAAUUGCGAAGGCAGAUCACUAACAUUAUAUUGACGCUGAGGGACGAAAGCGUGGGGAGCGAACAGGAUUAGAUACCCUGGUAGUCCC
rnacentral:rRNA from 1 species